GGUAACUAACACUGCGAACCCUCUAUUCGCUCAAAAUGGUCCGGCCACCCCUGUGUACAAAAACAGGUGGGUAUAUUCCCCUAUUUCUAGGUUGGGAAAAUGGACGCGGAAGAAGGAGGAACCGAAUAGGUAGAGACACUUGAGCUCGAGGUCGCGGGUUCAGGCGUGAAGAGUGGAGUUGGAAGAGGUUGAUACAGGCCUCACCCUCCGUUCACCUACCGGAGGAGGCAGUGCCUCCCCGUCUAGGUCUUCUACGCGCUACGGCCUAUAAACAGGUCGUUGUAGCGUGUGGCCGAGGGGCUGCCCCCUCUCGAGUAAGGGUGGGGUUCCGGGGUACUCUCCCAUCAUAAAGAAGGGGUAAAGGAGGUGCCUGACCCGAAGGGUGAAGUAGGGAAACAGGCCCCCGAGUACAAGAUGAUUCCGGAUCUAAAGGUACUAGACCGGGACUUAAAGUAGGAGUUGUAGAGCCGCAAAUAGCGGCACACGCUCCGGAAGGAGACGUAGGUCGGGGUGAAGCCGAACACCGAGUUCUGGAAGUCACAGUUCGGCUUCCAACACUUCCCAUCGGUCCGCCUCACGCCUCCGCGGUACCACCCGUCCUACAGGGUGCAAUGAACCGACCUCCCGUGAAAGCACCUUUGGUAAUUCCCCACCGUUAGCCCCACCAAGAUGUAGUAGCUCGGCGCACUGGGACUAACCCGUCGCCGGGGGCUUAAGUCUAGACCGUAGGGAUGUGCCGAGUGGAGGACCUUUCUCUCACCGGUUUAGACCCCACUAAGCCUCCUCGACUGGCCUGAGGUUCGGACGUAGGGUUUCGACCACCUGUUCUUCGAGUUCGAACAGUUGCAUCAGGUCCAGUACGAGUAGGCGGCCUAAGAGGGCACGGUUGCUGCCCCGAAGUUGUACACCCUCAAGCUAGGCCGCGUCGUGGUCUGAGACUCGCCCGAGAAGCUGUGAUGCAUGCUUCUACAGACCUUCCACAACAAGUUCCCGCGGUUCCGUGGGCGUAGGCGAUGACUUCUAGCGCCUAAGGCGAACGUCGCAGGUCGACUGCUCCUGAUCAACCGCUUCCUGCUUGUCUGGUAGACAGGCCGGGGUAACGGUCUCCUGGGUCGCCUGCGGGCGGAUUGCCCCGACGACCGAGGCCGUGGGGUACACCACGGCCUCUUCUUCCGGUUCUUCUUCCGGUGCCCAUGAGCUUUCUCAAGGGCAAAAGUUCACAAUAGCCUACUACUUAGGCUCCGGCUGAGGAGGGUGGUUCCGCUCCUCCUCUUCUUCUUUCGGAGAGGGGGUCGCCCCCCUCCCUUCUUUUCCUUCCGGAGGGGUUGUUCCCUCCGGCUUCCCAGGUUCUUCCCCUUUUGAGAAGGGGGCCUGACGAGACGGUUGCGGUCACUGCUGCUGCUCCUGACCGGAGGUUCCCGGUUCGGGGACCGCUCUAGUAUUCAUAGGUCUGAGGGCUUAUUGAAGUUCCAAAAAGGAAAAGCGGUGUAUUACAGAAAGAUUACGGCGUAUGUUGGGACGUCAGGCGGGUUCCUACUAGAAGGGCGAAGCAGCUCGCCCAGGAAUCCACGCAGCCUAUACCUAAGAGAAGGCUGACGGAGGUGGGGGGCACUGUGCCGGCUACGGCUCCACCCUAGGGUCCUUCCCUGGGUGGUCCUCCUCCUCCGGGGCUUCCACAACGUCCUGUUGGAGGGCCUGAAACGUGGCCUGAGCCGGGGCCUUGGGUGUCACCGAGGCCUCAGGCCGCCCGCUGGGGAAGCAUUCUUCCCGUUCAGGCACUGCGGCCGUCGGAGGCAGGUUGGCCUCCGUGGCCUAUUGAACGACCUCCGCGAGUUACCGCGGAGGUAACUUCUCCUCGUGGCGUGACAAUACUCACGCCACUAAGUCUUCCAAGUCGAGCGGUUCUCGCCCGACUGGCUUCGGACGUCAUCGGAAGAUUGUCCGAAACUCCGACGCGACGACUGGAGACGGCGUGAUUGACGCCUCCAGUUAUGAAACUUCCUUUCGGAGCUCGCCAGGCUCUUACUCGAGCCGGCACGGUUCUUCGUCGAGCUCCUGUUCCUUCCCCGGUGAUUACUCCACCGCUAGGACUUUCUCCUCCACCGGCGUCGGCUUGCGUUACGCCGGCGCCUAGUGUGGCUCGCUCUCUUCGUCCUCCGCGCCCACCGCCUCCAUAUCGUUCUCGAGGUUCUAGAGCACUUUUUUGUACUCUCGGACCUCGCACUGAGCUUCUGAGCUCUCAGACUCGAACGUUGCCGAGAACUCUCACGGUUUCGGCGAUUCCGGCUUCGGAUGUUCCGGGAGGCCCUUUAGCUCCACAACUUCUUUUAUCGUCGCCCAUUCCGUAAAAAGUACGUUUCAUUCGUACACUCACAAUUAAUGGACAACGAAUGGGCUUAAGCCUCGAGAAGUCCUCGCAAGCGUCUAGAAGGAACGUCGCACAGGCUACGACGGCGUAAGAUGGCCCAGCUCCUCCCCUCGAGCUGCCUCUUCCAGAAGACUAGAGUCAUACGACUCCGGCCUGUAGGCCACGGGGAAUCGCUGGUCGACUUCGUCGACCAGCUCGAGGUGUUCCGCCGGCUUGUCCGGUACUUCCCGGAGUAUCAAGCCGACACCGGAUUCCUCCGGUACGGACCCUCGAUGAAGCCGGACCACACAGCCGACCACCUACGCACGAGCACUCAACUUCAGUAGUUCGUGAGGCGGACAUAACUUCCACGGGCAGCCCGGGAACGGGCGCGUUUCCACGUGACCCCGUUCUACCUACGGGUCUUCGAACACUGCCUGGGCGGUGGCGUCCCGUUCCUCGUGGCAUGAGGGCUCUACAUAAUAUUCUCACAGGACUUCCCACGGGCGUGAUAACGCCCACUUACGAGGUUUCUACAUUAUAAACUCAUCUGAGCGUAAAACAAUAGGACACGCCACUUUUGAAUCAGGUAUACGCGAUUCGUUGCGAACAACUAAAUUUUAUAAUGGAAGACACGCCGACAAAUAGUUUAGACUCUCUACUGUUCAGCAGCCGAAGCCGGGGGUACGGCGUUCACGACCCCACAAGCCCUAUUUGAACUCGUGAGAACAAGGGUAAAAACCUAGGUAGAUCCCUCCGCGAGUUGUGCUGCUUGUUCCGUUG
rnacentral:rRNA from 1 species